CCUACGGUGGCUGCAGUGGGGAAUAUUGGACAAUGGGCGAAAGCCUGAUCCAGCCAUGCCGCGUGUGUGAAGAAGGCCUUCGGGUUGUAAAGCACUUUCAGUGGGGAAGAAAGCCUUGGGGCUAAUACCCUCGAGGAAGGACAUCACCCACAGAAGAAGCACCGGCUAACUCCGUGCCAGCAGCCGCGGUAAUACGGAGGGUGCGAGCGUUAAUCGGAAUUACUGGGCGUAAAGCGCGCGUAGGCGGUCUGAUAAGCCGGUUGUGAAAGCCCCGGGCUCAACCUGGGAACGGCAUCCGGAACUGUCAGGCUAGAGUGCAGGAGAGGAAGGUAGAAUUCCCGGUGUAGCGGUGAAAUGCGUAGAGAUCGGGAGGAAUACCAGUGGCGAAGGCGGCCUUCUGGACUGACACUGACGCUGAGGUGCGAAAGCGUGGGUAGCAAACAGGAUUAGAUACCCGAGUAGUC
rnacentral:rRNA from 1 species